UUUUAAAUGUGCAGCUUUAUCUGCUGAGAGAAAGCCAAACGGAAGAGCGUGGAGCUGUGGCUGUGUUCACCUGGGAACACGGGGUUCAGGAUGCGCCUGCUUUCUUGUUAGUACUUUAUUUUCUAAAUAGUCUCCUGUGAACAUGUUCUAUUCAAUAACCAUUGCAAAAUGGUAUUUUUGAAGCAAGUUGUCAGGUUUGAUGGCAUCUCUGACAGAUGGCAUGCCAGCCGGCACAUGUCCACUGCGCAGAGGUCUCGGCAUGCCCCAUGUCACCCACUCCACUCUGUGACAGUUGGGAUGAUUAGAAAAUGUCCCUAUGAUUGAAUCCAAAUCUGUCACCCUGUUAAUUCUGUCCACUGAACAAAAGUGCAUCUCCUCUGCCAUAUGGUGAGGCCUCAACCUCAUGAUGACAGCUGUCCUGUGAGCGCCCGAGUUUCCCCACUUAGCUGUUCUUAGCUUCUUGACCCAUCCCCAGCACGGACCACUUUUACUUGGCUCUCAUGUCAGAACUGUGUGUUAGGUAAGUAAAAAUGUAAUGAUUGGAGUUAGGUCUGACUUUCUUGAUUAUUGGUGGAGGAAGGUGUGGAAAUCUAUGUUUUGAAGUCCAUUGUGGUCACUUCUCUAUGACCUAACUUGGUUUCCAUAACAACAUUUUCUCAGGCCACAUCACAAGGUAAUCAGUUUAUCCCUCCUGUCCUAUUAGCACCUUACCGCUGUGUCAGUGGAAUGAAGCCAGUCCGUCAAGAUGAAGAACCAAUUGGGGAACAGGAUCUCAGCAUCAGAACUACCAUUACAAGGGAACUGGCAAUGAGAGACAAAUGAUAUACAUGGAAUGAUGUCAGUUUAAACCAGGUGCCGAAGCAAAGAUUGGAAAAUGAAGGUUUCCUGAAAUGUCUUGGGGUGUAAAUCAGGCAUUGGUGGAAGCAGUGAUCUUUCAGAGAAGAGUGGACAUUGUCUUAAGUGCCUCACAAGGGAGAGAGACCACCGCAUCCUCUCCCAGGGAUCUUAAUCACAGCUGAGGUAACCUAUCCUGACCUGUCUCUGUGAUAACACUGACUCUAAAGGACUCCGACUCCUAGGGUAGGAGAAAAGACAGCUGCUCUCAGGAAGACAGAUUUACUCGAACUAAGCAUUGAGUCACCUUCCAACCAGGUGGCAAAGUGUCACGGGGACACAGAGACUGGAGGAGAUGUGAGCUCAGACACUACUGUUUUCAUUCACUAGCCUUGUGACUUAGGGCUGAUCUUAAGAUGAAUAAGCUCUAGCCACACAUUGUAUAAUGACAGCAAUGGCUCCCCUGGAUGUGGUGACACACCCUGACAAUCUCAGCACUGGUGAGGUAGAAGCAAG